rnacentral:rRNA from 1 species
UAGGGAAUAUUGCACAAUGGACGCAAGUCUGAUGCAGCAAUACCGUGUGAGGGAGGAAGGUCUUAGGAUUGUAAACCUCCGUCGGAAGGGAAAAAUGGUAUGUAUUCUAACAGGAUAUAUAUGUGAUGGUACCUUCAAAGGAAGCACCGGCCAACUCCGUGCCAGCAGCCGCGGUAAUACGGAGGGUGCAAGCGUUGUUCGGAUUUAUUGGGCGUAAAGCGCGCGCAGGCGGUUUUGUAAGUCGGGUGUGAAAUCUCGGAGCUCAACUUCGAAAUUGCGCUUGAAACUGGAAGACUAGAAUAUCGGAGGGGGAUGGGGAAUUUCUCAUGUAGGGGUAAAAUCCGUAGAGAUGAGAAGGAACACCUGAGGCGAAGGCGCCAUCCUGGACGAUGAUUGACGCUGAGGCGCGAAAGCGUGGGGAGCAAACAGG